rnacentral:rRNA from 1 species
AACGAACGCUGGCGGCAGGCUUAACACAUGCAAGUCGAGCGCCCCGCAAGGGGAGCGGCAGACGGGUGAGUAACACGUGGGGAUCUGCCCAAUGGUACGGAAUAGCUCCGGGAAACUGGAAAUAAUACCGUAUGUGCCCGCAAGGGGAAAGAUUUAUCGCCAUUGGAUGAACCCGCGUCGGAUUAGCUAGUUGGUGUGGUAAAGGCGCACCAAGGCGACGAUCCGUAGCUGGUCUGAGAGGAUGAUCAGCCACACUGGGACUGAGACACGGCCCAGACUGCUACGGGAGGCAGCAUUGGGGAAUAUUGGACAAUGGGCGCAAGCCUGAUCCAGCCAUGCCGCGUGAGUGAUGAAGGCCUUAGGGUUGUAAAGCUCUUUCGCCGACGAAGAUAAUGACGGUAGUCGGAGAAGAAGCCCCGGCUAACUUCGUGCCAGCCGCCGCCGCGGUAA